AGGCGUUCCGGGUUUGCCUAACACAUGCAAGUCGAACGGCAGCACAGGAGAGCUUGCUCUCUGGGUGGCGAGUGGCGGACGGGUGAGGAAUACAUCGGAAUCUACUCUGUCGUGGGGGAUAACGUAGGGAAACUUACGCUAAUACCGCAUACGACCUACGGGUGAAAGCAGGGGACCUUCGGGCCUUGCGCGAUUGAAUGAGCCGAUGUCGGAUUAGCUAGUUGGCGGGGUAAAGGCCCACCAAGGCGACGAUCCGUAGCUGGUCUGAGAGGAUGAUCAGCCACACUGGAACUGAGACACGGUCCAGACUCCUACGGGAGGCAGCAGUGGGGAAUAUUGGACAAUGGGCGCAAGCCUGAUCCAGCCAUACCGCGUGGGUGAAGAAGGCCUUCGGGUUGUAAAGCCCUUUUGUUGGGAAAGAAAUCCAGCUGGCUAAUACCCGGUUGGGAUGACGGUACCCAAAGAAUAAGCACCGGCUAACUUCGUGCCAGCAGCCGCGGUAAUACGAAGGGUGCAAGCGUUACUCGGAAUUACUGGGCGUAAAGCGUGCGUAGGUGGUCGUUUAAGUCCGUUGUGAAAGCCCUGGGCUCAACCUGGGAACUGCAGUGGAUACUGGGCGACUAGAGUGUGGUAGAGGGUAGCGGAAUUCCUGGUGUAGCAGUGAAAUGCGUAGAGAUCAGGAGGAACAUCCAUGGCGAAGGCAGCUACCUGGACCAACACUGACACUGAGGCACGAAAGCGUGGGGAGCAAACAGGAUUAGAUACCCUUGGUAGU
rnacentral:rRNA from 1 species